GCCCCCCUUCUCACCACCGCUUAUAAUGGCUCCCGGGGCUCCCUCAGAGGUGGACGGCCCGUCUAUGUCUACCAACUUUUCUCCAAGAAUAAGAUGAAGAGAGCGGAGGUGAUGCCGAGACAGACCCUUUCCCCCCACUUUCCUGCCUCCUAGUCUCAGAUGCUCCACGCGGGAUUUGGACGCCCUCUGAGGGUUCUUCCUCUUCUUCUGACUCAAUAGCAGUUCAAUUAGGAACCAUUAAACUAUUUUCCUGGUUGUGUGUUCCUAACACAGAAAUACAAACAGCACAGUCUGUAUGUUAAUGAUUUAAUGCUGUCUCCACCAGAGGCAUCACUGCCGAAGAAAGAUUGUCCACCCAACAUCUUUGGUAGUCAUCCUGGGAGGCAAAACUUUGGAGAUGAAAAGAAUAUAAGAUGCCAUUCAAAUCAGCAGCUCUGGAGAAAGAGGACUGAAUCAGUUCAUUCUGGGAACUAAGCUGAAUGGAGUCCAGAUCACCCUCCGUUUCCCAGCGUUGUGUCUUGUCUGUCUCUGUGGAUACUUAAUGUCCUUCACUAAUGUAUUUGGCUAGUCUGUUCUUGCUAGCACACCUGUAGACUAAUUUCUACAAAUUCAGAUCUUACAAAAAGCUGAGUCUUUAACUUCAUGCAAUGGCAGAGUUGUGACAUCUUAGACUCAUUUUCUCCCAAAUGGCUUUCUGCUGCCCUCAACUGGUAGUGAGUCAUCAAUGCAGUAAAUCUCUGCAUUCAUGCUAACCCCCAGCAUUGUUUGACUCUAAAGGAGAUGUAGAAAAAUUAUUAACCACAUUACAGAUGAUUUUUAUUACAGAGAAAAAAAUGGAACUCAGAGGUUUUUAAGGUGUCCACCUAUUAUUCUCUAUUUCCUCAUUUUCUACCCAGUUGCAUGUGAUACAUGAAGAAAAGUAUUUGGCCUUUUCUUCUUUCAAGUAUGUGUGUGUGCCAGAGUAUUUGGAAGGGCUGCUUAAUUAUCAAAUCAAGAUGCAUUUCAGCUGGUGUAAUACCUAGGAGAUAUUUCUGUAAUUAGUCAUAAGUGAUGUUAAGUAUUUUAUCUCUAAUGUUAUAAAGAGACAGAGAAUUAUAUAAGGACCAUAAAUAG
rnacentral:lncRNA from 1 species